CAGCAUCGGCACCAGCAACUAAGCAGUGAUGAAGAUCCUUUGAGCUGUUUCAAGUUUCAUCCUCGUCACAAAAGACUAUAUUUGGAAGAAAACUGAAGAUUUGAAGACAGUUCCCUUUUUCGUAGCGUGCAGCAAACGAGACAAUCUCCAUUAUGGUCCUACGUGAGGAGACUACGCUUGGCCCUCUGGGAGACAGCACCCGGCGUCACACCACCUUCGCCCUGUCUAACUCUGUCACGGCCAUCUGUGAGCAUUCGUCAAGUGAGAGGCAAGGAGGGCAGCAGUGACGGCCGCUGGUGCCGAACCCUCAGCUGCCGGUUGUGUGCCGUUCAGCCUCCGGCUCUCUGCUCUCCUUCACCGGUUUCUUCUCGCUGUAGAGGAAACUAGAGGUUAAACUCAGCUUCCAUCUAAAUGUUUUGUUUCCCCCCCAGCUCUUUUCCUCAAACUGACUUCAUUCCACAUUCUUGCCAGACUAGGAAGCAUUUCACAAUUUAGUCUACUAAGUACAACAAAUCACUAUGUUUUCUCAUAAUGAUUGCUUCUGUAUCUUGUAAUUAUGACUUAGACCAUUGUAAUUAUGACUUAGACCAUUGUAGUUAUGACUUAGACCAGUGGUUCCCAGGCCUGGACAAAAUCAACCAAUCAGAACCAAGAAAGAUAGUUGAUUGAGUCUCAUUCCCAAGGUGCCCAGACACUUUGGGACCCUGGGAAUGACACAAUCAACUAUCUUCAAGCUUCCAAUGCAAAGCUUCUUUAUAUCUUUCUCAGCUCUGAUUGGUUGUUUUCGCACAGCUUACCUGUCUUAUAUACUACUGUCAGGAUAUAGUGAAAGAUAAUGACAAAAACGGGACAUUGACUGAGGAACUGUUAAUCUGUGAUGGCUUAUAAAUAAGGUCAUGACUCUAUAAUUACCAUGGUUACCAAACAGUUAAGAAAGGAUGUGCAAGUUAGGAAGUUUCAACAAAAAGGUCAACAAAAAUGUCACAUAAUCUACAUGACAACUAGGCAAACUGUAUACCCUUUCUUGAGAUACUGUUGAAAGCUCUGGAAAAAGUAUGUGAACGUUUAGAUAGAAUCAUUUUGUCAAAUAAUCUUUGCUUAAGGGCCACUUACCAGCUUGUAUUGAAAUCUUAAACUGCAUCUCAGUCUUCAUCAGUUGGCAGUUGUCAUGGAGACAGUUCAGUUGUUAACACAUGAUGAUUAAGUGAUAACAGAUGGUCAUAUAUGGGUAGAAAUGUAACCGCCAUGGCAGAUGUAAAUGUCCUCCUUGAUCUUCCUGUGACUCCUGCUCGAUGACCUUUGACCUUUUCCCAAUGGAGUUAGUAUUGAGCUGAUAUCUGUCUUGUUGUGUUCAUUCAGUCUCUUGACCAGGGUUAUGACCAGUUGUCAUUACUUGACUGAAAUUCCCUCCUGUUACCAUGUGGAGACAUCUGGGCCAACUUCUGUUCAAUGAUGAUGACCAUACAUACAAUCCCAAAAAUUAAAGUUUGAAGCUCAAA